rnacentral:rRNA from 1 species
GAAACCUAGUGAUUCUAAACUUAGUGGCGGACGGGUGAGUAACGCGUGGGUAACCUGCCCUAUAGAGUGGGAUAGCAGUUAGAAAUGACUGAUAAUACCACAUAAGACCACAGUACGGCAUCGUACAGGGGUCAAAGAUUUAUCGCUAUAGGAUGGACCCGCGUCUGAUUAGCUAGUUGGUGAGGUAACGGCCCACCAAGGCGACGAUCAGUAGCCGGCUUGAGAGAGUGACCGGCCACAUUGGGACUGAGACACGGCCCAAACUCCUACGGGAGGCAGCAGUGGGGGAUAUUGCACAAUGGAGGAAACUCUGAUGCAGCGACGCCGCGUGAGUGAAGAAGUAUUUCGGUAUGUAAAGCUCUAUCAGCUGGGAAUAAAAAAAUGAAGGUACCAGAGUAAGAAGCACCGGCUAAAUACGUGCCAGCAGCCGCGGCAAUACGUAUGGUGCAAGCGUUAUCCGGAUUUACUGGGUGUAAAGGGAGCGCAGGUGGCGCGGCAAGUCAGAAGUGAAAGCCCGGGGCUUAACCCCGGUAUUGCUUUUGAAACUACUGUGCUAGAGUGCAGGAGGGGUAAGCGGAAUUCCUAGUGUAGCGGUGAAAUGCGUAGAUAUUAGGAAGAACACCGGUGGCGAAGGCGGCUUACUGGACUGUAACUGACACUGAGGCUCGAAAGCGUGGGUAGCAAACAGGA